AAGAUUACGAGAUAUCGAUAUUGCUUUGAGUUGCUGCAGCGCGUGCCGCUACUUGCAACGAGAUGAAACUGACUAUUCGUUAAUCCGUACAAGUUUUCCUCUUCAUUUAAUAUCAAACUCAUUAGUCUUUAAUAAAAGUUAAUUAAUAUGAACAUGGCGGAUUUAAACACCCUUGCAAUUGAAGCUCUACUCAAUGAAGCAAAACUUGGUGCGCAAAGAGCUGAAAUAAUGGGACCAUCAGGAUGGG